rnacentral:rRNA from 1 species
GUGCCAGCAGCCGCGGUAAUACGUAGGAUGCGAGCGUUGUCCGGAAUUAUUGGGCGUAAAGAGAACGUAGGCGGUUUGUUAAGUUUGGGCUUAAAGACUGGGGCUCAACCCCAGGAGUGGCUCGAAAACUGACAGACUAGAGGAUGGCAGAGGAAAGUGGAAUUCCCAGUGUAGCGGUGAAAUGCGUAGAUAUUGGGAGGAACACCAGUGGCGAAAGCGACUUUCUGGGCCAUUCCUGACGCUGAGGUUCGAAAGCUCGGGGAGCAAACAGGAUUAGAUACCCUGGUAGUCC